rnacentral:rRNA from 1 species
UAUCCCUACGGGGGGCAGCAGUGGGGAAUAUUGCACAAUGGGGGAAACCCUGAUGCAGCGACGCCGCGUGAGUGAAGAAGUAUUUCGGUAUGUAAAGCUCUAUCAGCAGGGAAGAAAAAAGACGGUACCUGACUAAGAAGCCCCGGCUAACUACGUGCCAGCAGCCGCGGUAAUACGUAGGGGGCAAGCGUUAUCCGGAUUUACUGGGUGUAAAGGGAGCGUAGACGGCGGCGCAAGUCUGGAGUGAAAUGCCGGGGCUCAACCCCGGAACUGCUUUGGAAACUGUGCAGCUAGAGUGCGGGAGG